rnacentral:rRNA from 1 species
CCUACGGGUGGCAGCAGUGGGGAAUCUUGGACAAUGGGCGAAAGCCUGAUCCAGCGACGCCGCGUGGGGGAUGAAGGCCCUCGGGUUGUAAACCCCUUUCAGCGGGGACGAAGCGAAAGUGACGGUACCCGCAGAAGAAGCCCCGGCUAACUACGUGCCAGCAGCCGCGGUAAGACGUAGGGGGCGAGCGUUGUCCGGAUUUAUUGGGCGUAAAGCGCGCGCAGGCGGCCCGAUAAGUCGGAUGUGAAAACCCGGGGCUCAACCCCGGGCCGUCAUUCGAUACUGUCGGGCUCGAGGCAGGUAGGGGAGAUUGGAAUUCCCGGUGUAGCGGUGAAAUGCGCAGAUAUCGGGAGGAACACCGGUGGCGAAGGCGGAUCUCUGGGCCUGUCCUGACGCUCAGGCGCGAAAGCUGGGGGAGCGAACUGGAUUAGAUACCCUUG